GUGGAUUAGAUACCCUGGUAGUCCACGCCGUAAACGUUGGGCACUAGGUGUGGGAUCCCGUCAACGGAUUCCGUGCCGUAGCUAACGCAUUAAGUGCCCCGCCUGGGGAGUACGGCCGCAAGGCUAAAACUCAAAGGAAUUGACGGGGGCCCGCACAAGCGGCGGAGCAUGUUGCUUAAUUCGAGGCAACGCGAAGAACCUUACCUGGGUUUGACAUUUAGGGAAAAGCCACAGAGAUGUGGUGUCCUUACGGGCCCUAAACAGGUGGUGCACGGCUGUCGACAACU
rnacentral:rRNA from 1 species